rnacentral:RNase_P_RNA from 1 species
UGAGUAAAUCGGAUGAUCGCGUGCAGUUGGCAUGAGGAAAGUCCGUGCUCCAUAGGGCAGGAUGCUGGAUAACGUCCAGUGGGGGUGACCCUAAGGCUAGUGCAACAGAAAUAUACCGCCAGAUCCUUGCUUGAUUAUUUACCAAGCUUGUGGUGGAAUAACCUUUUAAUAAGGUAUCUGGUAAGGGUGGAAAGGUGAGGUAAGAGCUCACCAGCGAUUAGGCGACUAAUCGGCUCUGUAAACCCCAUCCGGAGCAAGACCAAAAGGGAACACAAAUAAACAGUGACCCGCUGUUGUUCCAAAGGUAGGUCGCAGGAAUCCAUUGGCAACAAUGGAUCAUAGAUAGAUGAUCAUCCAAGACAGAACACGGCUUAUAGAUUUACUCAUUUA